AACCUUAUGGACCUGCGGGCGUAUACCUGCGGAGGGAUCAUUAUCAAAACAGCGGCCUUCGGGCCUUGCUGCACCCUUGUCUUUUGCGCACCGUAUUGUUUCCUCGGCGGGCUUGCCUGCCGGUUGGACAUUAUCAAACCUUUUUGUAGUUGCAAUCAGCGUCAGAAAAACAAUAAUUAUUACAACUUUUAACAACGGAUCU
rnacentral:misc_RNA from 1 species